GGGCGUGUAGCUCAGCGGGAGAGCACUGCCUUCACACGGCAGGGGUCACAGGUUCAAUCCCUGUCACGCCCACCA
rnacentral:tRNA from 1 species